rnacentral:rRNA from 1 species
GCUUGUCUCAAAGAUUAAGCCAUGCAUGUCUAAGCAUAAGCCGAUUAAUGGUGAAGCCGCGAAUAGCUCAUUACAACAGCCAUAGUUUAUUGGAUCUUCUCUCAUACUUGGAUACCUGUGGUAAUUCUAGAGCUAAUACACGCAACAAAACCCUGACUUCGGAAGGGGUGCAUUUAUUAGAACAAAACCAAUCGGACUUGUCCGUAGUUUGGUGAAUCUGAAUAACUCAGUUGAUCGCACAGUCCUCGCACUGGCGACGUAUCUUUCAAGUGUCUGCCUUAUCAACUUUCGAUGGUAGUUUAUAUGACUACCAUGGUUGUAACGGGUAACGGAGAAUAAGGGUUCGACUCCGGAGAGGGAGCCUGAGAAACGGCUACCACAUCCAAGGAAGGCAGCAGG